GUUGAAUCAGAUGUUACUUCUGCAAAAUGCAUUUUGUCCUCAUAGGCCCACUGAAGGACUAAUACACAAGGUCCAUUUGCGAUUACUGUGAUAAGCCCAGCUUUUGCACACCAUGGCCGAUUGGCAUGUAGUAGCAAGUUUCAAGUCAAUCCUACUCAACUCAUUCAUAGCAAGUCUUUGAAAAACGAGUUUGAGCCUUUGUCAGGAAGCCAAACUGUGUUGGGAAAAAAGCAUGGGAAGGGACGAAAGCGCUAACUGGAUUUAGCCAAAAAGUCUCGGCACAUGCUAGCACUUUAUAACUGUCCUGUCAUCCAUCUCACCACCUGCUGUGUCAGUAGACUGUGGGUAGGCGGAUUUCUUUUUUUCUUUUAUUCUUCCUUUUCUUUUUCUUUCAAAAAUGUACACCUGGGUAGCCUUCACCAGCAUGGCAGUGGGAGUGUGAUGCUCACUUUUUUACCAUAUUUCAUUUUUUUAUACUGUCUCAAUGGGGGAGUUUGUGAAGCGUCUCGCCUCAGAGUGCAGCUGAGAGGCAAACAUGGGUCUCCUUGGGGAAAAGGUUCGUUGCACAAGCACAGCGAGCUGUGAGACCGUCAGUUGAGCCCCCGAAAAUACCUUUUUUAUUUUCUUUUUUUUAUUUUCUUUUUACGUCAGUUUGUCCUUGCAAAAAAAAGAAAAGAAUAAAUGUUUGAAAAAAACUAGCAGACUUCAAAAACCAGGAAGCGUUGAGCAGAAAAGACAGUCGGACUAAUGAUGACAGAUGGUUUCGGUGUGCUGUUCUGGAACAGUCUUGAUGAGGCUGCUGUUGUUUGUACCUACCUGUUGUCUGGGUUGUCAUUUCUGUCACAGUGAAAGGGUGUAUGUAAUUCUGUAUAUAUGCCAAGCAUUGCAUAACAAAUGUCAGCUCAUUUCAAGUUCUCUGUAAAUGACGAUUAAAAGAAGAUACAAAAAAAAGAAAAUAUGCUGGUUUAAUUCCAACUUCAUAGUGUUGUGAUUAAUAUGGACUCAGUUUGUUUUUACAGAAGUCUACAAAAGCUCAAUUCUGUCACUGUUGUACUGUUCUGUUGAUAUAUAAAAUUGUGUGUCUUGUACCGUAGUUAACC
ensembl:lncRNA